UUCUCCUACGGGGGGCAGCAGUGAGGAAUAUUGGUCAAUGGGCGGGAGCCUGACCCCGCCAAUCCGCGUGAUGGAAGAAGGUACAGCGUAUCGUAAACCUCUUUUGUCAGGGAACAAAGGCGGGGACUAGUCCCCGGAUGAGGGUACCUGAAGAAAAAGCAUCGGCUAACUCCGUGCCAGCAGCCGCGGUAAUACGGAGGAUGCGAGCGUUAUCCGGAUUUAUUGGGUUUAGAGGGUGCGCAGGCGGCCUGUUAAGUCAGCGGUAAAA
rnacentral:rRNA from 1 species